rnacentral:rRNA from 1 species
AGUGAACGCUGGCGGUAGGCCUAACACAUGCAAGUCGAACGGCAGCACAGGAGAGCUUGCUCUCUGGGUGGCGAGUGGCGGACGGGUGAGGAAUACAUCGGAAUCUACCUUUUCGUGGGGGAUAACGUAGGGAAACUUACGCUAAUACCGCAUACGACCUACGGGUGAAAGUGGGGGACCGCAAGGCCUCACGCGAUGAUAUGAGCCGAUGUCCGAUUAGCUAGUUGGCGGGGUAAUGGCCCACCAAGGCGACGAUCGGUAGCUGGUCUGAGAGGAUGAUCAGCCACACUGGAACUGAGACACGGUCCAGACUCCUACGGGAGGCAGCAGUGGGGAAUAUUGGACAAUGGGCGCAAGCCUGAUCCAGCCAUACCGCGUGGGUGAAGAAGGCCUUCGGGUUGUAAAGCCCUUUUGUUGGGAAAGAAAUCCUGUCGAUUAAUACUCGGUGGGGAUGACGGUACCCAAAGAAUAAGCACCGGCUAACUUCGUGCCAGCAGCCGCAGUAACAC